rnacentral:rRNA from 1 species
UACAGAGGUUGCUAGCGUUGUUCGGAAUUACUGGGCGUAAAGGGCGCGUAGGCGGCUUGGUCAGUCCCGUGUGAAAUCCCUCGGCUCAACUGAGGAACUGCACGGGAAACUGCCUGGCUUGAGUGCGGGAGAGGGAAGCGGAAUUCCGGGUGUAGCGGUGAAAUGCGCAGAUAUCAGGAGGAACACCGGUGGCGAAGGCGGCUCUCUGGGCCAUUACUGACGCUGAGGAGCGAAAGCGUGGGGAGCGAACAGG